UACGGAGGGGGCUAGCGUUGUUCGGAAUUACUGGGCGUAAAGCGCGCGUAGGCGGCUUUGUAAGUUAGAGGUGAAAGCCCAGGGCUCAACCCUGGAAUUGCCUUUAAGACUGCAUCGCUUGAACAUCGGAGAGGUAAGUGGAAUUCCGAGUGUAGAGGUGAAAUUCGUAGAUAUUCGGAAGAACACCGGUGGCGAAGGCGGUCUACUGGGCCGA
rnacentral:rRNA from 1 species